GAUGAACGCUAGCGGCAGGCUUAACACAUGCAAGUCGAGGGGUAUUAGUUUUCGGACUAAGAGACCGGCGCACGGGUGCGUAACGCGUAUGCAAUCUUCCUUCAGGCGGGGAAUAGCCCGGAGAAAUUUGGAUUAAUACCCCCAUAAGAUUUUGAGAUGGCAUCAUCUUAUUAUCAAAGAUUUAUCACCUGAAGAUGGGC
rnacentral:rRNA from 1 species